CCUACGGGUGGCAGCAGUGAGGAAUAUUGGUCAAUGGACGAGAGUCUGAACCAGCCAAGUCGCGUGAAGGAUGACUGCUCUAUGGGUUGUAAACUUCUUUUAUAUGGGAAUAAAAUGUUCAACGUGUGGGUUUUUGUAUGUACCAUAUGAAUAAGCAUCGGCUAACUCCGUGCCAGCAGCCGCGGUAAUACGGAGGAUCCGAGCGUUAUCCGGAUUUAUUGGGUUUAAAGGGAGCGUAGGUGGAUUGUUAAGUCAGUUGUGAAAGUUUGCGGCUCAACCGUAAAAUUGCAGUUGAAACUGGCAGUCUUGAGUACAGUAGAGGUGGGCGGAAUUCGUGGUGUAGCGGUGAAAUGCUUAGAUAUCACGAAGAACUCCGAUUGCGAAGGCAGCUCACUGGACUGCAACUGACACUGAGGCUCGAAAGUGUGGGUAUCAAACAGGAUUAGAUACCCUAGUAGUC
rnacentral:rRNA from 1 species